rnacentral:lncRNA from 1 species
UUUAAGGUUUAGAAUUUAUCUAGGCUUUGAUUUAAAGUUUAGGAUUUAUCUAGGGUUUGAUUUAGGGUUUGAUUUAGGAUCUAGAAUUUGAUCUAGGAUUUGGUUUAGGAUUAACAAUUUGUCUAUGGUUGAUUUAGGAUUUGAUUUAGGAUUUAGUUUAGAAUAUAGGAUUUAAGAUUUUUCUAGGAUUUGAUUGAAUUCUAUUAGGGUUUUAAUUAGGAUUAAACUAGAACUUGGUUGAGAUUUAUUUAAGAUAUAUUUAUGAUUAUUCUAAUAUUUUUUAGAACUUCUUAUGGAUUCUUUUUAGGUUUAUUACAGAUUUUCUUUCAACUCCUUUAAGAUUUCUUAUUGCUUCAUUUGUAAUUUCUUUAAGUUUUCUUUUGAACUUGAUUAAAGCUUGUUUAAUAUUUUUA